UUUCCGUAGGUGAACCUGCGGAAGGAUCAUUAUUGAAUAAACUUGGUUGGGUUGAUGCUGGCCUCUCGGGGCAUGUGCACGCCUACCGCCAUUUUUACCACCUGUGCACCUUUUGUAGACCUGGAUAUCUCUCGAGGAAACUCGGUUUGAGGACUGCUGUGCGUAAGCCAGCUUUCCUCGCAUUUCCGGUCUAUGUUUUCAUAUACCCCAUUAGAAUGUUAUAGAAUGUCAUUAAUGGGCUCCAUUGCCUUUAAAAUUAAUACAACUUUCAACAACGGAUCUCUUGGCUCUC
rnacentral:misc_RNA from 1 species